rnacentral:rRNA from 1 species
GAUGAACGCUGGCGGCGUGCCUAACACAUGCAAGUUGAGCGUGAAGUUUAUAUUGAUUCUUCGGAUGAUUUAUAAAUGGAAAGCAGCGGACGGGUGAGUAACGCGUGGAUAACCUGCCCUAUACUCCAGGAUAACAUACCGAAAGGUAUGCUAAUACUGGAUAAUAUACAUUAGUCGCAUGGCUUUUUGAUCAAAGAUUACGGUAUAGGAUGGAUCCGCGUUCCAUUAGCUAGUUGGUGGGGUAAAGGCCUACCAAGGCGACGAUGGAUAGCCGACCUGAGAGGGUGAUCAGCACACUGGGACUGAGACACGGCCCAGACUCCUACGGGAGGCAGCAGUGGGGAAUCUAAGGGGCAACCCUGAUCUAGCCAUGCCGCGU